GUAGGUGGCAAGCGUUGUCCGGAAUUAUUGGGCGUAAAGCGCGCGCAGGCGGUUCUUUAAGUCUGAUGUGAAAGCCCACGGCUCAACCGUGGAGGGUCAUUGGAAACUGGAGAACUUGAGUACAGAAGAGGAAAGCGGAAUUCCACGUGUAGCGGUGAAAUGCGUAGAGAUGUGGAGGAACACCAGUGGCGAAGGCGGCUUUCUGGUCUGUAACUGACGCUGAGGCGCGAAAGCGUGGGGAGCAAACAGGGAUUAGAUACCCUGGUAGUCCACGCCGUAAACGAUGAGUGCUAAGUGUUAGGGGGUUUCCGGUCCCCCUUAGUGCUGCAGCUAACGCAUUAAGCACUCCGCCUGGGGAGUACGGCCGCAAGGCUG
rnacentral:rRNA from 1 species